rnacentral:sRNA from 1 species
GCUGGGUGCUGUGAUGCACACCUGUAAUCCAAGCAGCUUGGGAGGCUGAGGCAGGAGGAUUGUGAGUUCAAAGCCAGCCUCAG